rnacentral:rRNA from 1 species
UGGGGAAUAUUGCACAAUGGGGGAAACCCUGAUGCAGCAACGCCGCGUGAAGGAAGACGGUCUUCGGAUUGUAAACUUUUGUUCUUGGUGAAGAAGAAUGACGGUAGCCAAGGAGGAAGCCACGGCUAACUACGUGCCAGCAGCCGCGGUAAUACGUAGGGGGCAAGCGUUAUCCGGAAUUAUUGGGCGUAAAGCGUACGUAGGUGGUUACCUAAGCAGGGGGUUUAAGGCAAUGGCUUAACCAUUGUUCGCCCCCUGAACUGGGCUACUUGAGUGCAGGAGAGGAAAGCGGAAUUCCUAGUGUAGCGGUGAAAUGCGUAGAUAUUAGGAGGAACACCAGUGGCGAAGGCGGCUUUCUGGACUGUAACUGACACUGAGGUACGAAAGCGUGGGGAGCAAACAGGAUUAGAUACCCUGGUAGU